rnacentral:rRNA from 1 species
AUUGAACGCUGGCGGCAGGCCUAACACAUGCAAGUCGAGCGGAUGAAGGGAGCUUGCUCCUGGAUUCAGCGGCGGACGGGUGAGUAAUGCCUAGGAAUCUGCCUGGUAGUGGGGGAUAACGUCCGGAAACGGGCGCUAAUACCGCAUACGUCCUGAGGGAGAAAGUGGGGGAUCUUCGGACCUCACGCUAUCAGAUGAGCCUAGGUCGGCUUAGCUAGUUGGUGGGGUAAAGGCCUACCAAGGCGACGAUCCGUAACUGGUCUGAGAGGAUGAUCAGUCACACUGGAACUGAGACACGGUCCAGACUCCUACGGGAGGCAGCAGUGGGGAAUAUUGGACAAUGGGCGAAAGCCUGAUCCAGCCAUGCCGCGUGUGUGAAGAAGGUCUUCGGAUUGUAAAGCACUUUAAGUUGGGAGGAGGGGCAGUAAGUUAAUACCUUGCUGUUUUGACGUUACCAACAGAAUAAGCACCGGCUAACUUCGUG